rnacentral:rRNA from 1 species
GUAUAUGAGGUGAUUAAUUGGAGGGCAAAUCAAGUGCCAGCAGCCGCGGUAAUACUUGUUCCAAGAGUGUGUAUGAUGAUUGAUGCAGUUAAAAAGUCCGUAGUUUAUUUUUUAAGAAGCAAUAUGAGGUGUACUGUAUAGUUGGGAGAAAGAUGAAAUGUGACGACCCUGACUGGACGAACAGAAGCGAAAGCUGUACACUUGUAUGUAUUUUUUGAACAAGGACGUAAGCUGGAGGAGCGAAGAUGAUUAGAUACCAUUGUAGUUCCAGCAGUAAACUAUGCCGACGAUGUGAUAUGGAAAUGUUAAUUUGUAUUACAUAAUAGAAAUUUGAGUUUUUUGGCUCUGGGGAUAGUAUGAUCGCAAGAUUGAAAAUUAAAGAAAUUGACGGAAGAAUACCACAAGGAGUGGAUUGUGCGGCUUAAUUUGACUCAACGCGAGGUAACUUACCAAUAUUUUAUUGUUUUGAGAGAACGGUUUUUUGUUUGAGAAUGAUAAUAGUGGUGCAUGGCCGUUUUCAAUGGAUGCUGUGAAGUUUUGAUUAAUUUCAACAAGACGUGAGACCCUUAUUUUUUUAUUAAAGACAGACACAAUCAGUGUAGGAAGGAAAGGAUUAAAACAGGUCCGUUAUGCCCUCUGACAUUUUGGGCUGCACGCGCAAUACAAUAGAUAUA